UCUCUACAUGUCCAUACAUGGAAUAGUACACAAUAUAGACUUUGGUAGACAUUGAAGCAUGCAAAUUCUGCAGUUCUCCUUCUGAGUGGGGGAUGAAUUUUUUUUCUUUUGUUUUUCAAUUUACAAGCAAAGAAACGUUGACGAAUGACGAUGCAGGAAAAUGGAAACCAAAACGCCCGUAUUUAUAGACGCUAAUUGGAU
rnacentral:misc_RNA from 1 species